rnacentral:rRNA from 1 species
GAUGAACGCUGGCGGCGUGCCUAAUACAUGCAAGUCGAGCGAACAGACGAGGAGCUUGCUCCUCUGACGUUAGCGGCGGACGGGUGAGUAACACGUGGAUAACCUACCUAUAAGACUGGGAUAACUUCGGGAAACCGGAGCUAAUACCGGAUAAUAUAUUGAACCGCAUGGUUCAAAAGUAAAAGACGGUUUUGCUGUCACUUAUAGAUGGAUCCGCGCCGCAUUAGCUAGUUGGUAAGGUAACGGCUUACCAAGGCGACGAUGCGUAGCCGACCUGAGAGGGUGAUCGGCCACACUGGAACUGAGACACGGUCCAGACUCCUACGGGAGGCAGCAGUAGGGAAUCUUCCGCAAUGGGCGAAAGCCUGACGGAGCAACGCCGCGUGAGUGAUGAAGGUCUUCGGAUCGUAAAACUCUGUUAUUAGGGAAGAACAAAUGUGUAAGUAACUAUGCACGUCUUGACGGUACCUAAUCAGAAAGCCACGGCUAACUACGUG